rnacentral:misc_RNA from 1 species
CCGAGUUUACAACUCCCAAACCCCUGUGAACAUACCUAUAUGUUGCCUCGGCGGAUCAGCCCGCGCCCGUAAAACGGGACGGCCCGCCAGAGGACCCCUAAACUCUGUUUCUAUAGUGGAACUUCUGAGUAAAACCAUAAAUAAAUCA